CUAAGUCAGGAAUCUGAUGUACAGUAGUUGUCGUUUGUUUAUGUAAUUUAUACGUGUUUCUCGUUUCUCGUUUUUUAUAUAGAUUAGACCGUUGGUUUUCCCGUUUGAAUGGUUUUACACUAAGUAAUUUUGGUGCCCUUUAUAGCUUGUUGUUCGAUGUGAGCCAAGGCUCCGUGUUGAAGGCCGUACAUUGACCUAUAAUGGUUUACUUUUAUAAAUUGUUAUUUGGAUGGAGAGUUGUCUCAUUGGCACUCACACCACAUCUUCCUAUAUCUAU
rnacentral:lncRNA from 1 species